rnacentral:lncRNA from 1 species
UUUAAAUAACACUAAUAAAAUUAUAGAAUAACAAUUAAUAUUUUUGUAUAUAUACCUACUGUCUAGUCAAAUUGAAGUAACUAACAUACAAAUUCAAAGCAUGCAUUACUCACAGUUUUUUCAUCUCGAACUGUGCUCAAGUAUGCAACAUGCAAAUCUCAAGUACAAUAAUGACAAUUUGUGAGCAUGUAACAAAAAAAGCGUUUAUAAUCAAAUGGCGGUCAUCAAGAAUAUAGUGCCAUACAGUUAUAUUUUGCAUGACAUGACUAACGUUAGAAGAAUAAAGCGAAAAAGAUAAAAAUAAGUCCCACUCAGUGGUUUUAUAUAGAAGCAAGAACUUAUUAUGUGGAGCAAAGAAUCGAAGCAAUGCAAAUAACAAGGACCCAUCAAUUCCCAAGAAAAUCGGAACGUAGGAGAAAACACUGUCAAAAAAUAUAGGGCUUGUUUCUUGCGGCUUGCCGCGGUUUUAAUUUAGCUGAGAACACAACGAAAAAACAAAUUCAGAAUAAGGUUUAUAUGUGCAAUACUUGUUCAUUUCAUCAGGAACCGGGAGUUUAAGAUCAGAGAAAGAACCACUUCCAACACUUACACGCUACGACAUGUACUUGAAUCAAAUUCAGAAGGCACAUUUCCACUACCUAUGGGCUAUAUUUGCAAAAUAUUGUAUUGAUUUUACCAGCUUCAAAUAGCUUAGGUGACUCUUGCGUUAGAUUCACAUAAAUUAUCUAUAGAGAAAAUUUAAUUAGCCAACAUAUAGGUCUCAGUUACCUUUUAAGGUUAUAUACAAAACCUUCCUUGUUACCACUGUAUUUAACAACAAUGUUCUUGUGAGUAAUAAUGUUCUUGUGAGUGUAAAGGUUUCUCAUUGUUUUUGUCAGUUUCCCCAACAAAACCUGCUCAGAGGGAAAAUGGCUCCAUUAUUUCAAAAGAAUAUAGAAAGAAUUUGUGCAAGUCUUUGAUGGCGGGAUGAGGAUCGCUUACCAUUACCGGAGACGAAGCCGAGCAACUGAAGAAGACAAGGAAAUAGAGGGGAACUUUUAAGCAGCUGAUAUCUGAUCAGUCCCCUUAAUCCUUCCACUUGGCUAAGUACAUGAAUUCCACAUUGGUCUCCUUAUCCUCUGUCAGGUCAACCAAUGCACUCUGAUUAGUGUGCACAUUGAUUUUGUUCACCCAGUCGUUGUUGUAUAGGAUAUUAUUGAAGAUGGUGUGCCUGUAUGAAUCGUGUCCAUCGUAAAAAGAAAAGGCAGAAGCAAGCUAGAAUUGUCACCUGGGUCGCACAACUUGUAGAACUUCUUCACAUCUACGCAUCACGGAGACAUCAAAGCAAACGAAACUGUAAGCCACGAAUCUCACUGUAAAAUCCAGAGCGAAAAAACAAACUGUGCGAACAGGAGGGAGAAAGAGGGAGAGAUACAGGUGGUGUGUGCCUUGAGAAUGUCGCUUGAAACGAUUAGUCUCUGCGGGCGGCAGCAGGGGAUCUGGGACUGGGCGUAGCAGCAGAGGAUCUAGGUCUAGCGGUAGGGGGCUGUUUG